AUCCCAUGAUGUGGACAUUUUCUAAUGAGAUCCUUGAACCUCUCCUAAGUCUCAUAGAGAGAUUCUUUGUCGAACUAACAAAAAUUAUUAAUCUCCCCUCGUAGCUU